AGGGAAACAGAAGUCUCAGACCUUUCUCCCACUCUUGAGACAAUAUUUCCCUCUCAAUUAAGAAAAAGAUAAGGUACUUUCUGGAAGAAAAAUGAAGUUGAGUUGAAGAAAGCGUACAAAAAAGAAAUCAGCUAUAUAAACCCUCCGUACCAUUAUCACAUGAAUUUCUCACAACAAAUGAGUCUUUUCAAAUGAGUCAGCUCUUCGCAUCAGGUGGCCAAAGUACUGGAGUUUCAGCUUCAGCAUCAGUCCAUCCAAUGAACACCCAGGACUGAUCUCCUUUAGGAUGGACAAGUUGGAUCUCCUUGCAGUCCAAGGGACUCUCAAAGAGUCUCCUCCAACACCACAGUUCAAAAGCAUCAAUUCUUCGGCGGUCAGCUUUCUUUAUAGUCCAAUUCUCACAUCCAUACAUGACCACUGGAAAAACCAUAGCUUUUACUAGACGGACC
ensembl:lncRNA